rnacentral:rRNA from 1 species
GGAAAAGAAACUAACAAGGAUUCCCCUAGUAACGGCGAGUGAAGCGGGAAGAGCUCAAAUUUGUAAUCUGGCGGUCUCAGGCCGUCCGAGUUGUAGUCUGGAGAAGCGUUUUCCGCGCCGGACCGUGUACAAGUCCCUUGGAACAGGGCGUCGUAGAGGGUGAGAAUCCCGUCUUUGACACGGACUGCCGGUGCUUUGUGAUGCGCUCUCAAAGAGUCGAGUUGUUUGGGAAUGCAGCUCAAAAUGGGUGGUAAAUUCCAUCUAAAGCUAAAUAUUGGCGAAAGACCGAUAGCGAACAAGUACCGUGAGGGAAAGAUGAAAAGCACUUUGGAAAGAGAGUUAAACAGUACGUGAAAUUGUUGAAAGGGAAACGCUUGAAGUCAGUCGCGUCUUCCGGGACUCAGCCUUGCUUUUGCUUGGUGCAUUUCCCGAAUGACGGGCCAGCAUCGAUUUCGAUCGUUGGAGAAAGGCUUUGGGAAUGUGGCACCUUCGGGUGUGUUAUAGCCCUCGGUCGUAUGCAACGGUUGGGAUCGAGGAUCGCAGCACGCCUUUUUGGCCGGGGUUCGCCCACGUAACGUGCUUAGGAUGCUGGCGUAAUGGCUUUAAACGACCCGUCUUGAAACACGGAC